rnacentral:tRNA from 1 species
GGGCUCGAGCCACGGUGGCGCCGCGGUCUCCAACACCGCCGGCCGGGGGUUCGACUCCUUCCGAGCCUG